GACGCCCGCUUUCUUCUUUCCUAAUACAUGCAAGUUGAGCGCUGAAGGUUGGUACUUGUACCAACUGGAUGAGCAGCGAACGGGUGAGUAACGCGUGGGGAAUCUGCCUUUGAGCGGGGGACAACAUUUGGAAACGAAUGCUAAUACCGCAUAAAAACUUUAAACACAAGUUUUAAGUUUGAAAGAUGCAAUUGCAUCACUCAAAGAUGAUCCCGCGUUGUAUUAGCUAGUUGGUGAGGUAAAGGCUCACCAAGGCGAUGAUACAUAGCCGACCUGAGAGGGUGAUCGGCCACAUUGGGACUGAGACACGGCCCAAACUCCUACGGGAGGCAGCAGUAGGGAAUCUUCGGCAAUGGACGAAAGUCUGACCGAGCAACGCCGCGUGAGUGAAGAAGGGUUUCGGAUCGUAAAACUCUGUUGGUAGAGAAGAACGUUGGUGAGAGUGGAAAGCUCAUCAAGUAACGGUAACUACCCAGAAAGGGACGGCUAACUACGUG
rnacentral:rRNA from 1 species